GGAUGUGAGUGAGAUCUGGCUGCGACAUCUGUCACCCCACUGAUCGCCAGGGUUGAUACGGCCGAUCUGGCUGCCUAGGCGGGUGCCCCCUUCCUCCCUCACCACUCCAUGUGCGUCCUUCCGGAAGCUGCAAAGAGGAUGUCCUUCCCCGAAUAGCGACCAACCAGUCGAGUAGCUGCACUCCCCUGCUAGAACCUUCAAACAAGCUCUCAAGAGGUGGUAUUCAGUGAUCAUGCUUAUAACAAAUGCAUUCAAUCUCUGCAAGUCCUAGACUUAGUGUUCAUU
ensembl:misc_RNA 7SK 7SK RNA